CGUCGCCGUCGUUGCCAAGCCCGAAGGAGAAAGAGAGUCCGCAAAGGGAGAGUGAGGGACGGAGAAGAGAAGCCGCCUAACCUCGCAACGCCACUGCGUCGUCGCCUCCGUUGAGCGGUCGCCAUCAUCGUGCGAGAAAGGAGAAGGAGCCGUCGAGGGGUCGCUGAGCCGCUGCCGUCGCCGUCGCGUUCAUUUCUGUCACAGAAGCUUCCAUUUCCGUCACUUUCAUGUUGCGGAGAGAAAGAACUACGCAUGAGCCAGGGGCCAGGGAAAGGGAGCCACCGCCGUUGCAUCCUGGCUACGCCGCCAUUCAAUUCGUUGUUUCAUCAUAUCCAUGGAGAGGAACGUGAAUGGAAAAGGAAACAGGGAAGCUGCUACUUGGGAUUUGAGGAAAACGGCUCUGUUCUGCCUCGCCUCUAGGUUCUGCAAGUUGCCGAAGUCCUCAGCCGCUGGGAACCAGCACUGAAGCUGCCCAGAAUCACUACUACUGCUGCCAUGGGAGCUGGUAUUGGAACCACUGAUGGAGCUGCUGUGUUUAGUGAUUUUCGCGAGUUGUGACAUCGAGGAUUGAAAUUGUAGAUAAAUGCUUUUGCCAUGACACAAUGGAACAGAUUGUUGAUUCUUUGAGUGGCAAGUGAAACAAAUGAUGCAUGGUGCAUUUCUACCCUAAAUAGACUUAAAGAAGCUUUGCCAUUGAGCUUGAAGGUUUCCCUGAGAUCAAUACGAGAGGGUAGAUUUUAAACUCUUAACCAGUGCUUGUUGCGUGAGUACCAUACGACUUUACAAGCAAAAUCUAAGCAGAUUUCUGGUGACUUUUGUGAGGUAAUGAACAUUGCCAGCAUUACAAAUCCAACAUCAUUCAAAGAUGAGGUUUCUAGGUGGUUUAUAAAUAGACAAUAGUGAAGAAAACACGAGGACCUACACAAUGCUUGAAGAUUCAUGCAAGACAGUUGGAAGAUAGAGAAGAAAUUACUCUAGAUAUUGAAGGAGGCAAUUGGUCCUACUGAUGAAGCUGUAAACAACUUGAGCAAAUUUUUGGGCACAGUGGCAAGGAAUUUAGAUUUUGUCCAUUAAUUUACACAAAUUGGAAGGGGAUUAAAGAUAAAGAAGCCAUUUGGGAAUCUGUUCAAGUGAGAAUAUUAUUAUUGUUAGCUAUUUCAACUCUUCUUUGUUAUAUUUUUUGCUACAUUAGAUGAUAUAGUUUGAGGUUGUCAUGAUUGUAUUGUGGUAUUUUGAAUGUGAUUGUGGAUCUUACAACAAUUUUUGUAAGUCAAAUUUGAUGAAAAAUAUUCAAUUAUUUUUCUUUA